rnacentral:rRNA from 1 species
GAUGAACGCUGGCGGCGUGCCUAACACAUGCAAGUCGAGCGGAGAUGUUGAAGUUUUCGGAUGGAAACAUCUUAGCGGCGGACGGGUGAGUAACACGUGAGUAAUCUGCCUUUGACUGGGGAAUAACAUUGUGAAAACAGUGCUAAUACCGCAUGAUGUUGCGCUUGGGCAUCCAAGUGCAACCAAAGGAGCAAUUCGGUCAAAGAUGAACUCGCGUCCGAUUAGGUAGUUGGUGAGGUAACGGCUCACCAAGCCGACGAUCGGUAGCCGAAAUGAGGGGUUGAUCGGCCACAUUGGGACUGAGACACGGCGCAGACUCCUACGGGAGGCAGCAGUGGGGAAUAGUGAACACUGGGCGCAAGCCUGAUGCAGCAACGCCGCGUGAGGGACGACGGCCUUCGGGUUGUAAACCUCUUUUAGCAGGGAAGAAGCGAAAGUGACGGUACCUGCAGAAAAAGCACCGGCUAACUACGUGCCAGCCGCCGCGGUAAAAC